rnacentral:lncRNA from 1 species
CACUAGACACGGUGAAUAGUUCACCGUGUCUAGACACGGUAAACCAUUCACCAUGUCCAGUAGAACUACCAGCACUUAGAAAUUUUUCAGCGCAAUAAACCACAGAAUACAACAUCACAACGCAACAACAAAUUCAAUACAACAAUACAAGAAAUUCAACAUCAACAAUACAACAACAAAUCCAACAGAACAUCAGUAAAGUAUCAAUACUAGAUCAUCACAAUAGAAUAUCAAAAAAUAAAGCAAGUUUUUCAAUAAUAUAGAAAGUUCGGUGCAAUUUAAAAUUUACAA